AAGGGUUAAAUAGAGGAAGUGAAGCGUAGUUGGAAGUGGAGAGAGACGUGGGAGAAAGUGAGAGGCUUUGGUGGUCAGCCACAACAAAGCUCUGAUCAAUUACUCUAGUUUGGGUGAGGAGGGCGGAGUCGGAGAGACAGACCGAUUGAUACUACGUUUAACGCUCCUGGAAAAUCAAUCAAUGACGGAAGAUUCAGAGAAGAGGGUCGAUUCCAUGGUGGACAAGCUGUUUCAGAAUGCAGAAGCCCUUCCUAACUCAAAUUCCGCAUCACUCUUCGCCACAUUCACCUAAGAACUCUCCAUCGGGUUCUCUUAUUAAGGUUGAUGCCCCCGUUAGAUCGGCUCCAAAUCUAUUCACAUCUUCUGCAAAGAAAUUGAAAUGUAGUCUUUCUAACGAGAACACCAAGCGCU